UACGGAGGGUGCAAGCGUUAUCCGGAUUCACUGGGCUUAAAGGGUGCGUAGGUGGUCAGGUAAGUCAGUGGUGAAAUCUCCGGGCUUAACCCGGAAACUGCCAUUGAUACUAUUUGUCUUGAAUACCGUGGAGGUCAGCGGAAUAUGUCAUGUAGCGGUGAAAUGCUUAGAUAUGACAUAGAACACCAAUUGCGAAGGCAGCUGGCUACACGAAUAUUGACGCUGAGGCACGAAAGCGUGGGGAUCAAACAGG
rnacentral:rRNA from 1 species